CAGUCGCCGCGGGAAUACAGAGGGUGCGAGCGUUAAUCGGAUUUACUGGGCGUAAAGCGUGCGUAGGCGGCUUCUUAAGUCGGAUGUGAAAUCCCUGAGCUUAACUUAGGAAUUGCAUUCGAUACUGGGAAGCUAGAGUAUGGGAGAGGAUGGUAGAAUUCCAGGUGUAGCGGUGAAAUGCGUAGAGAUCUGGAGGAAUACCGAUGGCGAAGGCAGCCAUCUGGCCUAAUACUGACGCUGAGGUACGAAAGCAUGGGGAGCAAACAGGAUUAGAUACCCCAUAGUCCCUGUCUCUUAUACA
rnacentral:rRNA from 1 species